GCUGUGCGGUAUCCAGGCACUUCAACAAUACCUCAGAAAGUACCAGCAUGCGGUCCAGAUUUAACAGGUGCGGAAAAAGCUACCACUCCCCUGGCACGUGUUAUGCCACUUACCUUCACUAGAGCACAGGGACCCAGGCCCUUCUUCACAUUUUCUCACCUUUAAAGGUGUGUAAAGAAUGGACCUGGGUCAGCCCCUUGAAUCCACAAACCAGUCGGGUCUACACCUGAGUCUAAUAGGAAGGCUCACCCUAACUGGACAUCCACUCUGUACAAAAGAGGGACUGGAGUCCUGGACUGAAUACCAAGGAGAAAGCUACCUGAGCUCCAGCAGUCAUCACUCUCUGCUCCCCCCCGUGGGGUGCAAUGUGACCAGCUGCCUCUCAUUCCUGCCACCAGGCCUUCCCCAUGAUGAUGGA